AGUGAACGCUGGCGGUAGGCCUAACACAUGCAAGUCGAACGGCAGCACAGUAAGAGCUUGCUCUUACGGGUGGCGAGUGGCGGACGGGUGAGGAAUACAUCGGAAUCUACUUUUUCGUGGGGGAUAACGUAGGGAAACUUACGCUAAUACCGCAUACGACCUACGGGUGAAAGCAGGUGAUCUUCGGACCUUGCGCGAUUGAAUGAGCCGAUGUCGGAUUAGCUAGUUGGCGGGGUAAAGGCCCACCAAGGCGACGAUCCGUAGCUGGUCUGAGAGGAUGAUCAGCCACACUGGAACUGAGACACGGUCCAGACUCCUACGGGAGGCAGCAGUGGGGAAUAUUGGACAAUGGGCGCAAGCCUGAUCCAGCCAUACCGCGUGGGUGAAGAAGGACUUCGGGUUGUAAAGCCCUUUUGUUGGGAAAGAAAAGCAGCAGGUUAAUACCCCGCUGUUCUGACGGUACCCAAAGAAUAAGCACCGGCUAACUUCGUG
rnacentral:rRNA from 1 species